rnacentral:rRNA from 1 species
GAUGAACGCUAGCGGCAGGCUUAAUACAUGCAAGUUGAGGGGCAGCAUGAUAUACGCGAGUAUAUUGAUGGCGACCGGCGGACGGGUGAGUAAUAGGUAGGAGACCUACCUCAUACAGGGGGAUAGCAUAGAGAAAUCUGUGGUAAUACCCCAUGAGGUUAUAUGAAUAGAGGCAUAUAAUCAAAGCAUAAGCGAUUAUGCGGUAUGAGAGGGGCCUACUGACCAUUAGCUAGUUGGUGAGGUAAGGGCUCACCAAGGCGAAGAUGGUUAGGGGUUUUGAGAGAGAGACCCCCCACAUUGGAACUGAGAGACGGUCCAGACUCCUACGGGAGGCAGCAGUAGGGAAUAUUGGGCAAUGGGCGAAAGCCUGACCCAGCCAUGCCGCGUGAAGGAAGACGGCCUUAUGGGUUGUAAACUUCUUUACUACGCGAAUAGAGGUUAGUACGAGAUACUAAUAGGAAGGUAGUGUAGUAAAAGCAACCGGCUAAACUCCGUGCC